rnacentral:misc_RNA from 1 species
ACGGCCAGUCGGUCGUCAUGCGGCUGCUGGACAAGGACAACAUCAAAGUGGGGGUGCGACAGCUCGGCCUGUCCGAGGAGAACUAUCAGACCUUCCUCAACCUCAUUCGCCGCCCGAACGGGAUCAUCCUGGUGACGGGGCCGACCGGCUCCGGAAAGACCACCACCCUCUACUCGGCCCUGAAUUUCCUGAACCGGCCGGACCGGAAAAUCAUUACCGCGGAGGACCCGGUCGAGUACUACCUG